CCCGGUCGUUAUGGAGUACCUGUGUUGGAUUACUGAACACUGUGAACAGAUAAGUUAAACACUAUUAUAGUAAUGGAAGUGUUGCAUGAACUUUGUCGAUUUGAACUAUUUUAUACUUACUUUCGUGUUGAGUUAACCAGUGAACUGAUAAGGUCAGUAAUCAAGUUGAUUUUAGGUGGGGGGAGUGUAGAGAAGCGCCUUUUAGUGUAUGUGUUUUAGUGCCUUUUAGUGUAUGUGUUUUUAGAGGAGGGAGAACCGCAUGGAAGUGAUAUAUUGUAGAGUUAAGGUGAAAUCGUGAGAUGUAUUUUGUGGAGAUUAAUCGUUGUUGAGUAUUGUAAUUAAAGAAAUAAUUAAAGAGUUUUGGUAUUAUCUUAGUCCAGUAGUGCUUCGUGACAGUUUCUUCGUUUCAUUGUAAACGUUGUUAUCGUAUACCUUCGUACCUCUUCAUAGACUUCGUGAACCAUCGUAAGACGUUCGUAAUGUUUCGUAAUGGCUUGCAAUGAUUUCCAUAGCCUUUUAAAAGCUCUAAUGUUAAAG